rnacentral:sRNA from 1 species
ACAGCCAGCCCUGGAGACUGAACUCCUGCAUUAUUCACGGAACGGGUACAGCACAAGCAGUGGGAGUGAGGGCUUCCCUCAGCUCUGCAUGCAGAUGCGCUUGUGCCUCAGCCCCGUUCUGAAGGAACCUGUCAGGACAGUAGGAGAAAGUCAGAUCCUGCGACCAUUUGAUGUUGGAUCUGU